UCCACACUGACUUCUCCUGGCUCGGCUGACUCCUUCCUGACCUCCUGCACCUGGGGUUGCUCCUGGGUCACUGAGACGGAUUUCUGUGUCGUCGUUCUUUUGACUGGUUUCCCGGCUCAGGCCAGUUCACCCCGUGGGCGGGAGGGCCCCAACCUUUCCGAGGACCAGCCUUCGUGGCCUGCCCCGGGUGCGGCCCGUCGUCGCCCAGCUGGGCACCUGCACCUGGUCCCCUUUGGUGCCCUGUGCAACCUCGCCCCCCACCUCCAGCUGCUCCGCUCGGUCACUGUGGAUUCCCGAUGUCCUGGUAAUUGUGCAGGACCACUUGGUGUGCCUCACCUGAUGGGACACCCAGCGUCACUUCUCAGAGGCUAUUCAUCACCACCACCCCCACCUCUGUUGUGGCCUAUGCGGUCUCACCCACUGCCACCCCCACCACCACCGGUUACAGCACUCGCACAGUCCAUUUGCCAACUGAAGGGGCCCCUCAGCUGUGGCAAUUAUGUGUUUAGAGAAGAUGUCAGAGGUGCAUUACGGCCCGAAUGUUUCCCUGCUCCAACCUGGCCCCUCUGCUGUUCUCUCCUAUUGUCACCCCUAAUGAAAUUGUCACAGUUCUCUCUGUGUCAGUGUCUGCUUCCUGGAGGACUAGUGGUCACACCCUCUUGAGGGCAUGCAGUGAUUCACGGGCACACAACUCACAAACCAGCAGGAACUAAGAUGACAUGGCAGAUGCAAGGUUACCCCUUCAGGGCAGCAGUGACCACAGGGGCC